GAACUCUCUAAUUGGGGUGCCAUCUACAGAUAAGAUGAUCCUCUGGGGAUUCCAUAGAAUGGUAUAUGUGUGGAAAUCUGCAGUUGGGUCAAACCACAGAUAGAAUUGCUGCUCUCUGUUGCCUUUGCCUUGGCUGAACACAUUAGUGUGGAGGAUGUAAGGAUCGCCACUCAAAUUCCCCAAGAACUCAAAAUCAAUCUCAUCCCAAGUGGACCCAUUUGAUUUCAACUGCAUAUUCAAUUUCAAAAUCCACAAUGUUAGGACUAGAAUCACAUAAUUGAAAUAAUUAGCAGAAACAGUACCAAAAGAAAUGAAAAACAUACAUAAUAGGCGGUGACAGUGCCAGCAGAGUUGCCAGGGACAAGCUUGAGCUGCAUAUCAAUCUUUGCAAAGAGAUACUCAUUCCUGGACUGAAAUCCAGAGCCAGAAGCUUGAUCAAGGGAGAGAGUGAGAAGUUGUCCAUUGUUGAGAAUCUUAGCUCGGCCGUCUCCCCAUGUAAUAUCAAAAUCAUUAUAGAAGUUGCUGGCGGAAGAAACCAUCAAAGAGGAGACAAGAACAGACAUAAACAGAGAAAGCACCAUGUUUGAAGAGGCUAUAUUUUGCUGUAAGAAAUCGUUUUAGCUUUGAAAGAGGAGAGAUGUGUUUGUAGAGAAGAAUGGGUUGGGUAGCAUUUAUAGUGGGCAAAUGACGAGUGAAAUGAAGAGAAAGUGCUGAGGAAAGGUCAUAGGAAGGUCGAGUGAGCUUAGCUGUGCACAGGAGUGUGUUUGGUGAUGCUUAUAAUAUUUAUUCUAUGAUAGCUGGAAAAUCGCACUACCAAACAUGUUCAAUAGUGAUCAAUACGCGUAUCAGGUUUUUGGUCGGAUACUUGGAUUUCAUACUGCCUUCCUCGGAACCGACAAAAUGAUGAUGCAAGAAUCAAAAGAAAAUUAUAACUAUUCUCUCUCUAAUUUUUAGAGAGAGAAAAAAAAUCUCUGUUUGGCCCUAGAAUUAACUAAAGUGUAAUUAUAAUCCAUGAAUUUUUUUAAAUAUCACUAGAAAUAUUAUUAAUAGUAAUUUUAAUUGAACUUUGUUAAAUGUUGCUCCCUUCAUCGCUUAACAAGUGUCCUAUUUGUUAAUUUCACUAGGUUUAAAGUAAUAUUUGAAUACGUUAAUAGGUUAAUAUUUAUUAUAAAUGAAUUUUUAUUAUGUAAAAUAUCAUAUAUAAUAUUAUAGUAUUUUGCUAAAUAUUUACGCUAUUAUAAAUUAUGUAAAUACUAUUUGUAUAUAAAAAAAAUCAACAUUCUAUCAAUAAUAUUAAAUAAAAUGAAAUAUAAAAUUUUGUAGAUUAAUUUUGAAUUAAAUUAUAAUAAAUUGAUAUACUAAAUUAUUAAUAAAAUUAAGAAAUUUAUAAUAAUAAUAUAAUUUUUUUAAUAUUAUGAAUUUCAAUUUUAGAAAAAAAUGAUAAAAAAAAUUCUAACUUUUAAAAAUAUUUAUAAUUACACCUUAAACUUUAAAAAUUUAUUAAUUAAUCCCUAAUAUUUUAAGUUAUAAUUAAUUGUAUUCUAAAUUUUAUUGAACUAAAAAUAUAAGAUGACAAUAAUAUGUUAGAUAAUAUUACAAUUCUGUUAGUCUUUAACAGAAAUGUUAACACGGAUCUAAUUGGAACAAAUAUAAAAAAUAUAGAAUUUAAUUAGCGAACCAUAAAAAAGUAACUUGGGAUUGCAAAAAUGGAAAAAAGUUAUUUUUUUAUUAUUAACUCUAUUAUAAAUUAUUUUUUUUAAAAAAAAUUUUUUAUCAUUAACUCUAUUAUAAAUUAUUUUUUAGUAUUAUAAAUUUUAAUUUUAUAAGAAAUGAUAAAAAAAAUUCUAAUCUUUAAAAGAAUUUAUAACUACACUCUAAAUUUUAAAAAUUUAUCAAUUAAACCCUGACUUUUUAAGUUAUAAACAAUUGUGCUAUGAACUUGUUGAUAUUAUAAAAUAUGUUGAAUAAUAUGACAACCGCGUUAAUCUAUAAUAGAAAAUUUAACAUAGAGUGAAACUAAAAUAAAAAGUGAAAUUUAAUUAGCGAAUCAUAAAAAAAUAUGUGGAAUCAUAAGAAUGAAAAAAAUAUUUUUUAUUAAUUUAUUAAUAAUUACCAUAAGCUUUUUAUAUUUUAUUUUAUAAUAUACGAUAUUUAAUAAUUAUAAAAUUAAUUUAUUUAAUAUUUAUAGUCAUAUUUUAUUAUAAUUUUUUGUUUACAGUAAAAAAUAUUUAUAAUAUUAUACAAGUAAAAUUAAUUUAUAAUGUUAUUAGUUUAAAUUUAGGAGAAUUAGAUCACUUAUUAUAAUAAAAAUAAUUUACUGAAUUUAAUAAAUUUUAACAUUUAAAAAUUUUAAUCAUAAAUAGAUAAUAUGUAAUCUAUAUUUAUCUAAUUAUUUAGAAGUAUAUAAUUAAUAGAUAAUAUUUCAUAAUUUAAAUUAAUUUAAAGUUAAUAAUAACAUUUGACAUUUGUAUAUAUAUUUAAAUUUAUAAAUGGAUUAUAGUUUUAUAAUUGAAUUUAAAUUUUAAAGUAAAUAAUGAUUUUAUUAUUUAAAUUAAUUUACUAUUAAUAAAGUUUGAAAUUUGAGUUAUAUAUAAAUAAUAAAAAGCCAAAUUUGUGGCAUUAGAUUAUUAAAAUAAUAUAUAUUGAUGAUCUGAGAUCCAGAAAAUAGGGUUUACAAAACGUUCUGUAAGCUUGGCUGAAAAAAGGGCCCUCAAGAAGAGAAUGUUUCUUCCUUUUAUCUGUUUCCAUUGUCUGUCAGUGACGUGUAACGGCCCGACUUCUAUUGGGCCACCUGUCUCUGCCAUAUUGAUAUAAUCGUACGAGGAUAUCAGAUUCCUGCCCCAUGUGUAACGGCCUCUGAUUCCCCCCGGGCGCGCAUGUGGAUGGACCCACAAGGCAGAUGGAUAGGUCCCCUUCCUGAUUCUGAGCUGGACCCAAGGAUUGGAUUAAAGUUGAGCCCAGGUAGGAUCUGUUUGAUGGGCCGUGUGGACUGGGUCGGCCUGGUUGAGGAAGAUAGUUGGAGCUCGGCCUUAAAGCUGAGCGGACCAGACCUGGUUCAUGUGGGAGACUCGAAGGCCUCCAGAUAAUGGGCUAUUGUCAUGGGCCCGGCCCCAAACCGGGGUGACGAAAUCCAGCGGUCAUCAAUUGCCCAUUUACCUCCUCGUCAGUUAUUGCCCGAUUGAAGAGGGGGUAAAUACCGAGAGUCAUCAUGACCGCGCCGCCCAAGGACAAAACUGUUCAAAACAUCUUUUCGGCUCUUUAUUGUUUCAAAUUUCACUUCCCGUCAGUCUUCCCAGAACGUUGGCUCUUCUCUGUUCUACUGCUCUCUUUGCUUUCCUCUGCUCAUUUGCCUUAAUCGUUUUUCAGGUACGCCUCUUCUUUUACCAUGGAUAGUUCUAGUCUCCCCGAUGUCGUCAACCAGGAGUCUAGCAUCACCCCAUCUAACAUUAGGAGUUUCAUCUCUAAGGAAUACCUGGAUACCCCUCUUUAUCACAUCCAGGCUCCUUACCAGAAUGAGAGGAUCGUUCUUCCUGAUUCUUCUCCUCCUGGCCUAAUCGACCCUCAAAGGGACGUCAGUCUAGUCUUCUUCAUCAAACAGAGAGAGUACGGUCUGUCAUUCCCCUUUUCUCCUUUCUUCAAAGAGGUCUUCCAGUAUUUCGAGAUCACCCCUCGAAUGCUAACCCCUAACUCCAUUCUUUUCAUGUCUUGCUUUGAAUCUGUGUGUCUGAGCUGGGGGUUUACACCCACGAUUCACCUGUUCGUCAGCUUUUUCAGGCUAGUCAAAGCGAGCCAAAAAUUUUAUUACUUUGCCCCCCGCGGAGGGUUGUUUAUUUUCACGGUUUAUAAAGACUCCAUCAAGGGCUGGGUAGAGGGGUUUCUGGUGGUGGAGUUGAAGAAGAAUACGGGAUUGGCUUGGGAGCUUGAUCUCGCCUGGCAGGAUGUCUCUCUGGGUUGCAACGACCUGCCCCAGUUGGGCCUUACCGAGCAGGUCGGAUUCAUUCGACUGACUUCUGUGGAUAAGAAGUAUGACGUCGAAAAGUGCUUGUACGCGUCCGACCUUAGGGAUAUUAAGGACGCGGGUAUCUUAUUCUAUCUGCAUGUGUUAGUUUUUGCUUACGCGAUCUUUGCUGAGAACUGUUCUGAUUUGCUUUGAUUUUUAAUUUUGUAGCUUCCGAGGUGAAGAUGGAUCAGAUCAAGCCUCCCAAGAAUCUCAUAUUGUCCCGGGAGAGCAUGGACGCUGCUCUGGAUGCCCUCCUAGCUGGGCAGUUCGUGAGGGAGGCUACUCAAAGGGUGGCUGAGGUUAUUUCUUCCAGAUCGGUUAUCCGACCUCCUCCUCCUCCGACCUCCUCGCAAGCUCCUAGGCCAAGCUCCCGACAUAGUAAGUCGUCUUGGCCUUCUAGCCGCAGCAGAUCGAGCUCGGCUCACCAGUCUUCCCAAGCCCCUCGGCCUCGACGUGCUUCUACUGAGAGGACAGAAGAGACUCCAAGGAUUAUUUUCUGAAGUGGCUGAGGACGCCGAGAUGGCGAGGACGGAUCCUGUACUUCCUCAUGUGGAUGAUUCUAAUGUGGGGCUUGAAGUCCCCGCUGUUGCUGAGGGGGAGGUCCCCAAGGUGGGGCUCGAGGCCCCAUUACUGAAGAGGGAGCUUCAGGGAAAAGAAAGGAGGUUAUUCUUGUAGACGAAGAUGUCCAGGAGGCCCCUACUGGAGAUGCCCCUGCUCCUGAAGAGGUUGGAUCCGGCCCUGCUAAUAAAGGAGGUGCCACGGAGAAGGCCGGGGACAAACGUCCUGCCCCUCCCGAAAUGUCCGCCCCAGUUCCUGCUCGGAAGAAAUCCAGGGCUUCCAAGGGAUCAGCUCCAGCUCUCCCUCCUAUUGGAAAGAAAAAGGAAGCUUCCAAGGGAUUAGCUCCAGCUCUCCCCCCCUCUUGAAAAGAAGAAGGAUGUUCCUGUGAUACCCCUGUUGUCUGCUCCUGACAAUGACAUUUUGAACGCGGAGGACAUCACUCAUCAAACUCCGGUGAGCGUUGUAGCGGAGAUCUUACGGGAGCGGAUAUUCAGGGGAAUCACGGAGGCUUCGGACUCUCGUCUGCUUGCUUUGAUCGGCCACCUGGCUGGCUUCACACGAGAGAAGGCAGCCUUCUGGUCCCUACCUUGAGGGGAGCUCGGAGAUAGGAUCAGGGAGAUGCUCCUGAUGGUAAGUCGUUCGUCCCGGUUUUUGCUUGUCUUCUAAUUUUCUUUGUUUCUUUGUUGUGACAGCUUUCUCUUUUUGCGCUAGGUGAUGGGCCUCUUCAUGGAGGUGGACCCUUGUGACCACUCUCUUUGGGAGUCGGUGGAUCGCCGGGUUGAGGAGGCACAUCUGGAGGAAAACUUGUAUGCCACCAGUGAUGCAUGGAGUAAUCUAGCCGCGGCCCAUGAGCAUGCCAAGUCCCUAGAGGUGGAGUUGUCUCACGCUCGGAGGGUUCUUAAAGAAUCUGACGAGAGGGCAGCUGCUGCUGAGGUCCGCUGUGAAGAAGUCCUGAAGCAGCUGUCCUCCACGGUAGAUGCCCUUCGUGAAAGGGACGAGGCUAUAAUCCAGAGGAACGAGGCUCAGCGUCAGUAUGAGGUCUUGAAGGCUGAUUUUGAAGGAGCCUAGGCUCGUCUUAACAAGGUGGAGGUCCAAAAGGAGGGGGCACUAGCUCGGGUUGAAGUUCUCAAGCAGGAGCUGAGUAAGAGUUCUGAUUGCAUUAGAGAUCUGGCCUCAGCAGCAGAGGAGUCUAAAAUUCAUAAUCAAAAGCUCUGCCAUGAGGUCAAGAUUUUGGAGCAUAGAUGCUCAGCCCUGCUUGAGGAUGUCAGACUCACUGAAGACAGGGUCCAGCUGGAGUGUGAGAGGUGUCUGAUGGAGUAUAAAGAGUCUCCCGAGCUGAAAAAAGAGAUCGAGCAGGCCUGUGAAGCUCGCCUCCAGGAUUACAAGAGUUCUUCUGAAUUCAAAGCCAAGAUAGCUGAGGCCUGUGAGAAGCGACUUGCGGAGUUCCAAGGCUCUGAUGAAAUGAAAACUGCCAUAUGGAAUAAGGGCUUCCGCAUGUUCGUGUCUGGGUAUAAUAGAGGUCUGAGGACAGCUAGAUACAAUCCCUCCACUCCUUUGGCCAAACUCUGAGGUGCUGAAGAGGACUCUGAUGGAGAGGAGGUACUUUAUGGGGAAGAUGACAGACCUCUACCCAAAAGAGCUUCUCGCACUACAGCUGGGCCUUUUGAGGCAGAACCCGAGCUGGGGAACAACGAUGCUGGGCCUCAAGGGCAGGAGAUCAUGCCUUUUAUGGGCACCGGGGGGUCUGAGCAGGAGGAUGCUGGGCCUCCCACGGACAGCAAUGCCAACAAUGUAAAUAUAGAUAGUACAUGGGAUAAUGUAGAUGAUAAUGCCCCUAGACAUGUAAGUCCUUUAAGGACUGUUUUUCCUUCAGUAGAGUAGACUGUAAAGUAGGUUGUAAUUACUUUUCUUUUUAAUGAAAUUUAAUUUUCGAGUUGUGUUGGUAUUUUGAAUUAUUUUGAUUGUUAUUUAUUUCUCUGGCUUUAUUUAUACUUGAGCUAUUCUUACCUCUGCUUGUUCUUCCCUCCUCCUCGGGCUACUUAUUCUGUGCAAACAAUCUAACUUGUUUAAUUUUAAAGAUUUGAGAACAAAACACUUAGGCGGUGCCUAAUAAAUCUUGUAAGGAAUUGGCUACAUCGCCUUUCAUUUCUUGCCUCUCAGUUAAUCAGGGCUGAAAACUUAGCAAGAGACUUAGUCUCUGACUUAUAAUCUUUUCUAAUUUCACAAGGGCGUUCUUAUCUGUAAAUUUUCUCCGAGCUGGAUUUGCCUUAAGGCUAAGAUCUUCAAGCUGUACUUUUUCAUAGAUUUCAACCUCAUUAGGUCUUUACUAUGAGCUCGGUUUUUAACAGCCGACUUAAUAUCUUCAACUUUCUUUCCAUUAUUUUAUAUGUACUAGUUCGGGCGUGUAGCCUUUAUAUGACUGAAGUAAAAGGGAUUAUGUACCUCUUUAAAACAACGAGCAGGGUUGAUCUUCUUGUUUUCAGUUCUGUUUCUUAUCUGCUCACGCCGUUGAACUUCCUUUCAGCUCAUAAGAGGUUUGUUAUCUUCGUUUUGUUCUUUGAGCUUUCUGAGCUCGGUUCUUCUUCUUUGCUUGGUUUUCUGAGUUCAUUUUUUCAGAUCGGCACUUUUGGCCUCUUGUCGUUCUUCAUCUGAUGACUCAGUUUUUGGGUAUUCCUCGGCUGGGUACUUUGUUGCUUAGAUCUUCCUCUAGGUUAGCCGAGCUGGUUUAGCGUCAUUCAUCAAUCUUUGGGGUCUGUAUCUUACUAGCCUACAAUCCGAGUUCGGACUUAGACUUUUUAUAUUUGCUUUAGUAUAUUCUUGAGAUCGGCAUGGCGCUUUGCCUCCUUUGGUUGUCAUAUGAGAUCUGAGUCCCCUUCUCUUAGGAUCUGAGCUCCUUUGGGAGGUCAGGUCUAGCUUUGCUCUGGGAGAUCUGGGUGAUCUUAGUCUUUCGCCUCCCUGAGGUCUCUAUGUCUCAGUUCGGUGUUUGUGGUGCCAGGAGAUCUUGGGGAUCCUGGACUUCCACCUCCCUGAGGUCGUUAUGUCUCAGUUCGGUGUUUGUGCCGGGAGAUCUUGAGGAUCCCGGUCUUGUUAUGCCAGGAGAACUUGGNNNNNNNNNNNNNNNNNNNNNNNNNNNNNNNNNNNNNNNNNNNNNNNNNNNNNNNNNNNNNNNNNNNNNNNNNNNNNNNNNNNNNNNNNNNNNNNNNNNNNNNNNNNNNNNNNNNNNNNNNNNNNNNNNNNNNNNNNNNNNNNNNNNNNNNNNNNNNNNNNNNNNNNNNNNNNNNNNNNNNNNNNNNNNNNNNNNNNNNNNNNNNNNNNNNNNNNNNNNNNNNNNNNNNNNNNNNNNNNNNNNNNNNNNNNNNNNNNNNNNNNNNNNNNNNNNNNNNNNNNNNNNNNNNNNNNNNNNNNNNNNNNNNNNNNNNNNNNNNNNNNNNNNNNNNNNNNNNNNNNNNNNNNNNNNNNNNNNNNNNNNNNNNNNNNNNNNNNNNNNNNNNNNNNNNNNNNNNNNNNNNNNNNNNNNNNNNNNNNNNNNNNNNNNNNNNNNNNNNNNNNNNNNNNNNNNNNGUAAUAGAGAUAAUUAUUGCAUUGUCAUAAGGUGGUGCUAUUCCAUUCAUUCGUGUUUUCAUAGUACAAGAAUUUAUUUUUACAAAUAUUCUAAGGGAAGUACAUCUUCUGUUUCACCGGCUCAUUCAACCUUCUUUUCCUCCAACGAUCAUGUUGAUGGUCCCACUGGACCCAUCAUUUACUGGCCCCGCUCCCAUUCUCCUGAGUGUUUGCGUUGCUGGGUUCGGCUGAGGUCUUUGUCCCUCCGGUUUCUUCACAAAGUUCUUGAGGUGUCCCCUCUUUAUUAGCCUCUCGAUCUCAGCAAUCAACUGGAAGCAGUUAUUGGUGUCAUGGCCGUGUGUGUGAUGAUAUUGACAGUAUUUGUCGGGAUUUCGCUGGUCCGCUUCAGUUAUCAUGGGUCUGGGCCAUUGUAGGAGUUCCUUGUCUUGGACGGCCAUGAUCAUUUCGGCUCGGGAGGCAUUAAGUGGGGUCGGCUUCUCUGGAACCCAUGGGGGAAGUGUCUUCUAUUCUAAGGCCCGAGGAGGGGGGAGUUUUUGGUCCCUUCUCUCCCAUGGUUGUCUGUAGAGUUCAGGUUUCUUGCCGUGUUUCUUCUCGUGCCUCUCCGGCCUCCUUUCCUCCAGGGCUUUCCCCUUAUCCGUCGCUCCCCUGGCAAAUCUGCUUGUUACUAAGGCAUCAUCCUGCCUGAUGUACUUCUCUGCCCUCUUCAUCAGCUUGGCCAGUGAGGUAGGAGGCUUUCUGCUCAACGAGCCAAAGAACUCGGGUGAAGUCGUCCCUUUCUGCAUAGCCUCCACUGCUCUACCCUCAUCCAGCUCGGGAAUUUGCAAGGCCUCCGUAUUGAAACGAGCAACGUACUCCCUGAGCAAUUCAUCCCUUCUCUGCCUGACUGUUUCUAGAUAACUCGUCUUUCUGUCUGCAGGCAUCCUGGUGAUGAACCGGCUAAUGAAGUGGGUGGCCAGAUCUCCAAAGCUUCUUAUGCUUCCGGUCUGAGGCUGUUGAACCAUGCCCGUGCUGGCCCUGAGAGCGUCGUCGGGAAUACCUUGCACAUCAAGGCAUCUGACAGAGUCUGCAGCUCCAUGAAAGUCUUGUAGUUCAAGACAUGCUCCCGGGGGUUUCCAGCUCCGUCGUACGCCGCCAUAGGUGGCAUCAUAAAUUUCUUCGGGACGGUCUCCUGCUGCACCCACUUUGAGAAGGGUGAAGAGGUAGGCAGAAGAGUUUGGCUGGGGUCUUUCGCCCCUAACUCAGCCAAAAGUUGCUCUCUCAUCUUCUACAGCUUUUGGUCUACGCUCUCUUCUUCCUGCCUAGGCCUUUUCUCCGCGCGACCUUCCUCCUCCUAUGUCUCGUUCCCCUUUCUUCCGGUGGUUCCGACAGAAUAACUAUCAACUUUAUCAUUCUCUAUCAACUCCCUCACCCUCUGAACUCGAGCUUCCGGCUCUUCCUCUUCUCCGGCUCUUCUCCCCCCGUCUCCGGUUUCUUGGCUGACAGUUUGGGGAUGGUUGAAGGUAGGCUGAGGUUCGUUGGUCCGAGGCUCUUCCACCACCGGCAACACCUGUACUGGGGUGCUGAGGCCCCGUUGUUGCAUUAUCUGCCCCAACCAGUGGGCGGUGUUUUGUAACUAGAGGGCGAUGGCUUGGAGGUCCUGGUUGGACAAGGCAGCGGUGGACACAUUCCCCGCCGGGCUUGGCAAGGGGUUGAAAGGGAUGGGUGGUUGAUUGUUUGGAGUUGUAGGACUGGAAAAAGAGAAUUGCUGCCCCUUUUGGGUGGAGCUCAGGUCAUUGGGAGUGUUAAGAUUGUUGUUUUCACUGUGAUUAGCCAUCGUGGAUCUCAGUGGGUUUGUUUAGAGUGGAACUCCGGUGAUGAAAAGAUCUCCUUCGUUCCCACAGACGGCGCCAAUUGAUGAUCUGAGAUCCAGAAAAUAGGAUUUACAAAGCGUUCUGUAAGCUUGGCUGAAAAAAGGGCUCUCAAGAAGAGAAUGUUUCUUCCUUUUAUCUGUUUCCAUUGUCUGUCAGUGACGUGUAACGGCCCGACUUCUAUUGGGCCACCUGUCUCUACCAUAUUGAUAUAAUCGUACGAGGAUAUCAGAUUCCUGUCCCAUGUGUAACGGCCUCUGAUUCCCCUCGGGCACGCAUGUGGAUGGACCCACAAGGCGGAUGGAUCAGUCCCCUUCCUGAUUCUAAGCUGGACCCGAGGAUUGGAUUAAAGUUGAGCCCAGGUAGGAUCUGUUUGAUGGGCCGUGUGGACUGGGUCGGCCUAGUUGAGGAAGAUAACUGGAGUUCGGUCUUAAAGCUGAGCGGACCGGACCUGAUUCAUGUGGGAGACUCGAAGGCCUUCAAAUAAUGGGCUAUUGUCAUGGGUCCAGCCCCAAACUGGGAUGACGAAAUCCAGCGGUCAUCAUAUAUUAUUAAAAGAAUAAAAAGUGAAUAUAAAAUUAUUAAAUAAUAAUAAUUUAUAUAUAAUAAAUAUAUAUACAUAAAUAUAUUUUACGAAUAUUAAACCUGCAAUGUAGGUUGUAUAAAAUUAGUAUAUAUAAAAAUAAAAAUAAGCGACAAAUAAUAUGAUUAAUAAAAAAUAAUAUUAUUAAAACAAAAAUAUUUAAUUCUCGAAUAAAAUUUCACAAAUUAUAUUAUAAAAUAAUUUUAUUCAUACCUCUAAUCAAUUAGAAAAUUAAUUUUAACAGUAAUUUUAAAAUUAUUUUAAUAUUUUUAAUUUUUAAAAUUAAUUUUAUAAAUAAAAUAAUUUUAUUCAUGUCUCUAAUCAAGUUAAAAAUUACACUAAAAUUAAUUUUUAAUUACUAUUAAAAUAUUUAAAUGACCUAAAUUAAUAAAAACUAUUUAAAAUUAAAUAACUAUUUAAUUUAUAGACUGAAUUUUUUUUAAAAUUAUUUUCAGCCCUCAAAGGACAACUUUGAAAAAUUUUCAAAAAGUACAGGGACCAAAUCAUAAUUUGGCUAAGAGUUUCAUCUUCUUCCUUCGGAAGAUGCCCUAGCCGGCGCCCCCUUCUACACAGAAGCCCGUUGGACGCUCCAGCCGCCAACACAGGUCGCCGAGACAGUGCAACACUUGCGCUUUUAGCGGCACCUGUACAACGAUGCCGGCGUCCUUGAGAUCGGCAACAUCACGAAGGAAAUUUUGGUCUUCACAGCAAUUCCUCCCCAGCGACGUCUAGGCUGCUGGGUCCACACUGUGACCACUGUGCAUGCCGUCCAUGCAACGCCGGUCCAUAGGCUUGCGUCGGCCGCUGUGCACGUCCCUUGUCGACUAACGAACCUGGACAUGCGGUAAUCCUGAGAUUGUGUUCUCCCUUCAACACGAUUUAUUGUAAACAAUUUCCAACAAAAAUUAACUUUGAUCAAAGAACUAAAAAACAAUUUGAUUCCAAAUCAAGUAAUUUUUCGUGACAAUAAAUCUAGAAAAAUAUUUUUUAAAGAACACCAAAAUUUAUUAGCAUACACAGUUUAAUUUUAAUUAACCCAAUAAUAAACAUAAUGGACUAUUAUACUUUAAUUAACACUCUAAUACUAGUAUUAGAAUUUAAUCAUAUUAAAUGCAGCGGAAAGAAUAGGAAAAAAAUUUUUUUUCACAAAAAUGGAUCACGUUUAAACAAAUAAAACAGAGUAGGAGUGAAGAAAAUAAAUAUCUUUUAUUUUCUUUGCAGCAAAAUGUGAGAUCGUUCGUUUCAGUUGAUUAUUGCAAACCAUAAACCGUCAAAGUGCACAUUCUCUAAGGAUAUUCAUACGGAAUACUAAUAAAAAAACUUAGAAUCAUUCUAAGGAUCGAGAAAGAGAAGAGGUUUUGAAUGCGGGCCCUUUACUUUUUCCUACAAAUUAUGGAGACUCACCAAAGUCUAUCACACCCGACUUUUCAUAAGAGGUCCUUAUAUAUUAAAACCCUAGAAUUUAAGUAUAAUAUUAUUUAUUUAUUUGUUUAACUAAUUAAAUAAAUAAGUUACAAUUAUAUCUAAAACUUUAAUAAAUAAGUCAUAUAAAUCUUAGACAAUUUUAAUUUCUUCUGUAUUGUAAUAUCCAACUAAACUUCGGUGUUGAAAUUCUAACUUUUCAAAAAAAUCUACAUUGGAAUCCAAAAUUCCAAAAUUAGAAAUUUUAGAAGGGUAAAAUAGAUUUUUUAUAAAAUGAAUUUUAAGCAUUUUAUAAUGUGUUAAAAAAAUGAUUUUCAAAUCAUUAAGAUUCGGCCGCCGAACUCAAGCUGGCAGACCCAAAUUUUGAGAGUUCUUCUCUUUUCUUUCAGCAAAGGUGAACCUAAGACCUCUUGAUGAUUUUUGUUUUGAUUUUUCCAUAAAUCCUUUAUGAAUUCAUGGGUUUUACCUUUGUUUUGAAGAAUCAAGUUGAAUUUUUCGAGUUUGAGCCUUUAGGGACCCUUUGGAGUUCAUCUUAUCCUCUUUUUUGAGUCCUUGAUUGCUGUGACCAUUGUGUCUCCAAGAGAUAAGUUAUAAUCCUUACCUCUCUUCUGUUGCUUGAGUUUUUAAAGAAAUUUUAAGUUGUUUCAAUGUUUGAUAAUGCAUACAAAGUUUGGAUUUUAAGUUUUUAGUUUUGAGAUAGUGGAUGAUUUCUUGUUUUGAUGAUGCAUGUUGAAAUUUAGGUUAGUUUUAAGUGGUUCUUGGUGUGUUGAGUUGUAAAUGUAUGCUUUUGAGCUGUUGCAUGAGGGUUUUAUCUGUUAGUGUAUAUGCCCUAGGCCAUUAUCUUGGACCUUUUUGUAUGUCGUUUUGGUUAUUAAUAAAAGAGAUUUUUAUCAUUAUUAUUUGUUUGCAUGUUACAUAAUAAUGAUUAUCAUCCCUGGUUACUUAUAAUAAUGUUGAUAAUAAUAAAAUAUAACUAGUAUGAUUAUUGAUUGAUAAUCAUGAGAUGAUUAUGUAUAUGUUGAUAUAAUUCAAUAAUUAUAGAUACUUGUUAGAAAAUAAAGUAUUGGAUCGACCCGCAUUGAGAUCACUACAUGGGUUAUUGUCAUAAGUGAAUCUCAAAAUAGUUAUGUCUUAAUCCUUUGACUUGAGAUUGUCAUAGUUUCCAACAUAAGGACUGUUAUGUUUUGACAUAACCAAACAUUGUCUUUAAUCGGACAAUCAUAAAGGUUAUGAUUGAGCAUAAUAGAAAUUAUGUAGAGGAUAUUGAACAAUCAAGAUAGGAUUUGUUCCUCUCUAAUAGAGAUAUCUUCUGGGCCCCUCGAUAAGUGAGACUGAGAAAUGCAUGGCCGUGCUCAAAUGAAUUGAUAGUGUGAUCAAUAUCAUUUGAAUUUAUCAGUCUACUUAGAGAUGGAGAAAUCAUAAGUUUGAACAUUAUAAGUUUGACAUUGACCAUGAUUUAUGUUCAAACUAGAUAUCGUGUGACAAAGGGAUUAAUACAUGUUCUAUUUAUUAGGCUUUAUCGGACUAUUGAUCCUCAUAUUAAUUGGGUAGUCAUAAUGUCUUGCUAGAGGCCACUUAUGACUUAUGGGCCUUGUGGGACUGAGCCUAUUACCAAUUAAUGUGAGCCUAUUGGGUCACACACAAAAGAACGUUGUUGAUGUGCUAUGACAUAUUAAUGGGCUAAAAGCUCAAAGCCCAUUAAUAUAAUUAAUAAUAAUAAUGUGUUAUUAUUAUUAAUCAUUAAUAUAAUUAAUAAUAAUAAAGUGUUAUUAUUAUUAAUCAUUAAUUAAUAAUAAUAAAGUGCUAUUAUUAUUAAUCAUUUAUUAUUAUGAGAUAAUAAUAUUUAAAUAAUCUGCAGAUUGUGGAGCACAUAAUCUAUCUAUCUUUAAGAGAGCUAGCACUCUAGAAGGAUAGAAGACGUUCGUGUGGAUACCAUAGAGCACUACAAAAAAACAGUGAUUUAGUGACCAAAAUUUUGGUCGCUAAAAGGCAAAAUUUGGUCGCUAUUAUGAAAUAGCGACCAUUUAGCGACCAAAAUUAAAUGGUCGGUGUUUGGCCAGUAGCUAAAUUUUUGGCGACAAUCUGGAAAUUGGUCGCUAAAAUAGCGACCAAUCAGCGACCAUUUUUUGGUCGCUAAUUUGGUGUCAUGGCAAAUUAGGUAUUAGAAAUAUUAGUCGCUGUUUUGUCGUUAAAUUUUGAUCGUUAAAUGGUCGCUGUUUUGGUCGCUAAUUUGGUCGCUAUUUCGUUGUUAUUUGAUCGCCUCAAGGAAGAGCAUUUGGUUGCUGUGUGGAAGUAAAUUGGUCGUUAAAUUUCAGUCGUUAAAUGGUCGCUGUUUUGGUCGCUAGUUUAGUCGCUAUUUCGUUAUUAUUUGAUCGCCUCAGGGAAAAGCAUUUGAUCGCUGUGUGAAAGUAAAUUGGUGAAAUUAAAAGAGAGACUAAUUAAUUAUUUUUUUUAAAUAUUAAAAAUAUUUUGGUAUUUUAUUUGAAAUUGAAUAAUCAAAACAAUAAUUUUGUUUUACUAUAAAACGAUUUAAGUCCAACGGUUAGGAUAAUUACCUUCCAAGCAAUAGACCCGGGUUCGACUCCCGGCAAACGCAGAACUUUUGACUUUUUUACUUUUAAAAACAUAUCCUUAUCAUUCAUUUCAGGAAACUGCAAAAAUAUAGUGUACAUUUCUCGAAGAUCAAAACUAAUACUAACAAUAAAUUAAUAAAUACAAUAUAUGCAAGUUUUUAUAAAUCUGAAUUCUGACAUCUACCCUUAAUCUGACUUGUGCAGAUUAUGAAGGAUGUAUAAAGAAGCAGAUGACAAGAAAAUACAAACAGAAUAGCUUAGUAAAUCAAUUCCUGUAGCUAUUUUCACCAUUUUGCUCCUCUCAAACAUCUUCACCAGAAGAAUCAUAACAAUAACAUGUCCUACUUUUGUCUUCAGUUCAUCAAGUGAGCUAAUCUUCAUCCACUUUGGUCUCUCCUGCAAACCCCAAAAAAAUUCUUUCAAUUGCAUCAGAAAAAUUCCUGGAAAGUGAGCAAGUUUCUCAGGGAGUGAAAUUUACCUUCAAAGCAAACAUUCCAAAUAGGGAAGAGCCUUUUAGGGCUCGGUCGACAUGGGAAGGAACAUCAGGAGGCACAUUGCUGAUAAAAAUCCGUAUAAGCCCAUGCCGAAGAUUAGCAUCACAUUUCCAGCAAGAUAAACAUCUGCAUUCAGCAUAGAUAUAUCAGCAUAAAUGUUCAUCUUCAACAGAAACUUCAUAUUUCGGAUUUAAAAUAGGAAACAGCAUAAAUUGGACUUCUGAGAAUGAACUUCAGUGACAAAAUUCAAUACAUGAAAAUUGAUUGAGAGCACCCUACAUAUGUGUAUUCUCAAAAUUAGUUCCCCUAUAAAAUAUUUUGUGAAAUUAACAUGAAUGCUCUUAAGACUAGAAAAAUCAAACAAAGCAUUGAACUAAUUCUUAGAGAAGCUUACCAAUAGCUUCGACUAAGCGCAGAACCAUCUGUCCAGUGUGAAUUCCUUUAACACAGCUACUCCAAUAAACUUUGUAUGCAUCAAAAAUGUAAACACAACCCUGCAAUAGAUCAAAAGGGGUGACAGAAUUAAUCUCAUUCUGCACAUAAUUUUCUAUUAAUGUUGAUUUAACUGCAAUUCAUACACUUAAGCUAGAGCUAUUAGUUCACAUUUCAAAGCACAACCCUCUCAAAAGACCAAAACAACACAAGUUUUGUAUCAAAAGCAGCUACCAACUUAUGCAGAGAAAGGCAGGUGUACUCAGCCUCUCACUGUGGGAGAGAAAGCCAAUAAACUCCUUUGGACAAAAUACUAAAGCUCUACCAUCAUAAUUAAUUAAUGUAAAUUCCAAUUCUAUGCGACUGAAUGAAAGAAGUUGAUAAAUGCUGGGUAGAAGAAAGUACAUUUAAGAAGCACAAGAGUGAACCAGCUAAUGAGCCUCCAAUAGCCAGAAGUGCCAAAAAACGGAAAUCAAAGAUCACUUGCCACCAGUGAAUAUAAAAGGUGCUCCAUUGUCAGACUUGAUAUACAUAAAAGAAUCCAAUAAAAACGAUUUUAUAAGAAAAUUCAUGUGUCCAGAAUCAAUUUUAAAAUGAGAGUUCAUUUGAAUUCUAGUUUUUGGAACAGCUAACAACUAAAAUUAACGUCCUCAUUUUCUAUUUUGCCCUUAUUUACAAAUAAAUGUGAGUUAAAGUAGGUUGUUUUUAAGGGUUUUCAAUAGAACACUUCAUUAAAUGAGUCAGAAUUCUUGCAAAAUAAAGCCACUUUUGUCGUGAAUUCAUUUAUUUCAAAAUGACUUUUUAUAAAAGACCCAAAACAGUUCCCCUUAUGCCUUCUAAAACGACUAUAAAACAAAGAACCAGAUACAAAAAUCCCCAAUUCAAUGGCUCGAUGUAGAAGCUAGCAUGCCUGGAUGCAUUUCACAAUGAACAAAUAUCAUUUGUGUCUACAGAUAGUGUUUGCAUAUCAUAAACACUCUCCUUUCAGAACAUACUCUUUAUAAAAAUAAAAUUACUUACCUUUUACAGUUGCUGAUGAGGACUGAGGACUGAACUGAGGAAGACAGAGGAUUGAGGACAACCAAGUUGCUGACGGCGCGGAGAGCCGAUGGACUGGAGAGCGACGACCGACGAUUGCGUGGAGAGCGACGACCGACGCCGACGAUUGUGUGGAGGCCGCGAAGAGGCUCUUCUUGCAUGCAACACAUCAGAAAGCGAAAAAAAUGUCAACAACACAAAGAAGCAAGUACUGGGAGAGAGGAUUUGGGUUAGAAGCUAGAGAAAUUGAAAAAACCUUGGGAGAAAACUACAAAUCCACCAGUGACAGAGAGACUAGAGAGCGACAGUGAGGAGAGGAGGCAGAGGCAUGUGUGAUGUGAGGCGGCGUGGAAUGGAGAUUAGCUUCUCUACUGACUUUUAGAUUUAGGGCAAAUAAGGGUACAUUUCAAAACGAAGUAGUAUAGGUGAUUUUGGUUCGGUUCGAUUUAAUCGAAAAUUUUGAAUUUAAAACUGAACCGAACCCUAAUAGAACGGAUUUGAGUAGUUAUAAUCGGCUUUGGAAUAGGUUCGGGUUUUAAAAAUAAUACCCGUUGCGGAUUCGGAUCGAAUUCGGAUUUUAUGUACAGGUAUCCACUACCCGAACCCGUUUAUAUAAAUAAUUAAUUUAAUAUAAAAAAUAUAUUUUAUAAUAAUAUUUAUAAUUUUUUUUAUAUAUUUUUAUUUAAAAAUUUAAAUUUAAAUAUUCUUUAGAAAUAUUAGAUUUUUUAAAUGAAAAUUAUUAAUGAAAAAUAUUUUUUAUAUAAAUUAUUAAUUAAAAUAUAUAAAAUUAAACGGGUUCGUGUUUUAUUUGGAUAAUAAUAAUCGGGUUUGUAACGGAUUCGGAUAGUUUAAAUUAAUUUUUAUUCGGGUUCGGAACGGGUUCAGAUAUUACUAAUAUAAAUCGGGUUCGGAUUCGGGUAGUUUAAUUUUCGCAGAUACCCUACCCGUUUACAUCCCUAACGGAGAGAGGGAAGUGUGACUUGAGUAAAAUGAAAAAAAUAAAUGAGGGAUUACGGUUAGUUUUGUUAGUAUAGUUAAUUAGGGAUUAGGGAUUAGGGAUUAGAGAUUAGAAAUUAGGGAUUAGUAGGGGUGAGCAUUCGGUCGGUUCGGUUCAAAACCGAACCAAACUGAAUAAACCGAAAACUGAAAUUUUAGUGUUUAUGAAAAUCAAACCGAACCGAUUUUGGUCAGAAACCGAAUCGAACCGAACCGGUCUGAUUCGGUUUGAUUCAGUUCGGUUUGAUCGGUUUCGAUUUUUAAUAAUUUUUUUAUUUUUUACACUUUAUUUUUUGUAUUUUUAAAUUUAAUUAAAAUAUUUUAAUCUUAAUAUGAUUUAAUUUCUCUAUAUUAAUGAAAAAACAAAUUAUUAUCAUUAAUCGGUUCGGUUCGGUUUUUUCAGUUUUUUCUGAUCAAAACCGAACUGAAUCGAAAUAAUAAAAAAUUUUAAAAUUAAAAACCGAAUCGAACCGAAAUGUAUAAAAAACCGAACCAAAUUUUCAAAUCGGUUCGGUACGGUCGAUUUUUUCGGUUUAAACCAAUUUCUGCUCACCUCUAGGGAUUAGGGUUAAUUUUGUUAGGGAUUAUAGAUUAAAAUUAAGAAUUAGGGAUUAUGGUUAAUUUUAUUAAGGAUUAGGGAUUAGAAAUUAGAGAUCAGGUUAUAGUAUCCUUAAAUUAUCAAAACGACGUCAUUUUGUAUACCCAAUUCAAAUCACUUAAUUUAAAUUUUAAAAUUUUAAAUAAAAUAAAAUUUAAUUAAAAAUUAAAUUAAAAUUUUAAAAAUGAAAUGGUUGCUGAUUGGUCGCUAUUUAGCGACUAAUUAGUUUAGUCGCUAAAUAUGGUCGCAAAAUGGUUCGCGCCAUUAAUUCCCGCUAAAUUUAGCGACCAUUUUAAAUUUGGUCGCUAAAUAUCGACCAAAUAACGACCAAUUUUUGGUCGUUGAGCUUUUUGUUAAAUAAAAAUAUUAUUUCAUUCAUGUAGUAGCAGAAUGGUCGCUAAUUGGUCGCUAUAUAGCGACCAAAAAUUUUGGUCGCAAUUUCACAGUUUUUUUGUAGUGAGGGUGUUCGUUUGAAAAAGCAGCACCAUCAGUCUACCAUUAUAUCUUUUGGACGAGAUUAACAUGUUAGUCUCAUAUUCUUCUUGUGAAUUAAACGAAGCACUCAGAUUCUGGGAAAAGGAAAUCAGAGAAAUUUUAUUUUUUCGCUGCGUCUUUGGGUUGCAAUUAAUCUCGGGAUUUCCCAACAUUAUCAUAUUUGAGACUGUUGGCUGAGGCAGAAUCGGAUUUUGCAUUGCAAAAGAAUCCAUAUUCGGUCGUCAAACCUGCCUAUGAAGGCUUUCUAACUUGCCUCCAAAGGUUUGACCUUCGGAUUGUAAGGGGACUUUAAGCCACCGAACCAGCUGCCGAAAGUCCCUUGUCUAGUUGUUUUCAGCUCAUUUUCUGCAUAUUUUCUUAUAUGUUUAUAGGAGUUUUUUAGGGUAGUUAUAAGAGUUGUAAAAGUUAUGUUUGACCCCUCAUUUAACCCAUCUGUAUAGAUCAGACUUAAGAGACUGUAGAGGCCAACAAUGAGAUAACUGCUUCAAAGAUAGGCUUGCAUCAGCCAGAAGUGAGUAGAACUACACUAAACUAUUUUUUUAAAUAAAUCAAACAUUUUAAGUAUGCUCAUGCAUUCACGAAUGCCAUAUGUAUAUGAUUAGAUUAUUUUGCAUUAGAAUUCACGAAUAUAAUGCAUUGCACAAUUCAUUGUUAUUGUGGAUGGAUUUUGGAUGAUUCACUAGCCCUCGACCAUGCUAUUAUAUAUUAUGACGGAUAUGGUAAAGACCAGGGUUGCCCAUUCUAUGCCCCUAGCAUUAUGUUUCGGAAAUACUAAGAUUGCUCAUUCUACACCCUUGGCAUUAUGUAAGAGAAAAACUAGGGUUGUCCAUUCUACACCCUUGGCACUAUAGAUAUAUUAUAUUAUAUUUAAGAGGAAGUCCUGAGGAGCACCCGUUGUGGGUUGGGCACUAUUGAAAUUAUGGAGAGUUACUGGUGACAGUCCAUCUUGAUAUGUAUUAUUUGUGUUGUGAUCUAUUCAUAUAAUCAUAUGUUUUAUUAAACUAUUUUAUGAUUAUCUUUCUGCUCACUAGGCUCUUAUAGUUUAUCCUUAUCCCCUAACCUCAGGUUUGCAGGACCAAAGUUAGCUCGGGAGGUCAGCAGUGUUAUAUGGUAUAGUUUUGAUGUAAUAGUAUAGUUGUAGACAUGUAAUACAUAAUGUGGAUUAGAAUUAUAUUUUGCUCGAAUUUUCUUUUUAUAAUCACUUGUUUAUGAUCUUAUUAUGUAAAAGUUUUAAAGUUUAAGUUUUGUUUGGACCAAAUUGAGGUAUGUAAUGAUGACCACAUUGGAGUAUUUGAUGAGUGCUCUAGUAUGGGUUUUAUAUUUUCAAUUAUGUUGCAUGUACAUGCUGAGUUUUAGUUCAUGAGAUUGAAAUAUUUUUAUAUGUUUUUAUGAUCAUGUUUGAUAUUAUAUUAGGUGUAAUAGGAUGUAUAGCAGGCUUGUUACGGGCUCUGGCGACAUUGAGUCGAUCUAAACCCUGGCGCCAGCAGCGGUCUAGUUUUUGAGUCGUUACACCUACUUAAUUAAUUAGGUCAAAAUUGUAAUUCUUUUAAAUUACAAUUUUAUCCUAAUAUCAUAAAAUUUAUAUGCAAUCAAGUCCUACUUGAUUUGACUUCUCAUUUUAUUUUUUUAUGUUAUUCUUUAUGUGUAUGACGCAUUAGGUUCCAAAUAUGUUGGCAACAAAUAUAAUUAACUAAUUAGUUAAUUUUAAGGUCAAUAAUAUUAUCUAACAACAUGCUAAGACUACCCAAAUAUUUGGAAUGUCAAUAGUGAUUUGACUUAACCUUUCAGUCAAUAAUUUCUCAGUAUAAUUAAUAUCCCUUUAUCACAAAUGUCCCGAUUUAAUAUUUAAUACAUAGAGCGUGUCUACUAUGUUAAAUCAUAUUAGUUCUCAUUUAUUAGUUAUUGACCUAUUGAAUGAAAUUUCAAAUCUAAUUUACUAAUUUCAUUCCACCUUGCGCAAGGAUUUCAUUAUCAACGAACCAGAGAAUAAAUAGAACAUUCCUUAAGAAAACCUAGAGUGAUGAAUCCUAUCUCAAUUACGUAAACACUUUCAUACAGUUUCUACUAUAUCCAAUUCAUCUCUAUUUAUUACUCAUGAACUAAGUAAUGUGUAAGAUGAAUCAAAACAUAGAAGUCUCUAUAUAAGAUGAUUUGUUGAUUUCAAUUCAAAGAAUCUUAUACAACUAUCAUUUGAGUAAUCCAUAGACACACAUUAUUCUCCAUAUGAAUUUUUCAGGCAGGUCAGUUAAGUGUACUCAUUUAUAAAAUAAGUAAUGCACUUAUUUAUAAAAUAAGUACCUACAUAUUAGUUUUAGAUAUUUCAUAUAUAUCAACCUAUGAGAUUAGUUGCUCCUCUAAAAAGAAAGAACAUAAUAUGUAUCAAUCUCAACAGUUCUAAUCGUUGUCCAAUAACGAUAAGAACAAUUAAUAAGAACAUUUAGAGACAUUUCUGAAAUGCAAUAGAAAUCUCACGAUUAUAAGCACUUUAUAAUUUUUUUUACAUAAUAAUGUAGUUUCAUGAACUAACCUUUAUAUUAAAUAUAAAUAGAUGCCUUUAUUAAAAUGUAUUAAACACUUAAAAAUACAGAAAUAUAAUAUCUAACUACAACCAACCGAUGGGCUGUAGGACAUAUUACUAAUAGGAAUUGUUCUCUUACCUUGCAUGACUUUAGAAUAGACCUGAAUAGAGUUUAAAUUGCACUGCACUUUAAUGUGAUGUUUUGGUUGUUCGAAUUGUAGAGGAGAAGCUUCCCAAAGCUCCAAGCCAAAGGGAAAGGAGAAAGAAGUCAACUAGGAGCAACUAGCUUACUUUAGUUUGUGCUCACUUAACCUUUAAUUUGUGUAUGUCAAUUAAUUGUAUUUAUUGAGUAAAAAUGUGUAAGUUUACUAUAUUUAGAUGUUUUUGAGUGAUUCAUAUGCAUGGGAAUGAGAAUUGAUUUGAGUUCAUUAAGAUUGUGUUGUGAUGCUAAAAUUAGUAAAUUUGUUUGAAUAGUCCUUAUUAUUGAUAUUGUAACUUGUGAUGAAAAUAUUUAAUUGCUAUGUAAUUUAUACUAAAAUAAUCUUGAGACAUAUAACUAUAACUUUCAUGAAGACUAUAAGGUCCAAUCCUGUGAUUAAAGGCUUGAAAUAUAGGAAUAAAGUUGGCUUAAAGGAAAAGAUAAUGUUGGAUUUGUAGUGUUAUUUUUUAUCGUCUUAGUUUAAUUGGCAAUAAGUUGAGUUAUAAUUAUCCAAAUUAGGUAAUUAUUGAUGCUUUAGAAAGCUAAUAUAUUAUAAAAAAUACCCAUGCAUAUAGUUAGGUUAAAAUAAUAAAUCAAAUAAAACUUAUUUAAGAUUAAAAUUACUAUUGUUGCGAAAUUGAUGCCCUAUGUACAAUUUUGGUAAAUAAUGCAUAUAUGGAGUUAGAUAGGUCUAAAUGGUCUAAAACAUGUCUCAAAUGAAUCAUAUGGCACUGUCUUAUAACUUUUUAGAAGAGAUAUUAGCCUAAUUCUUAUUGGAAUUUGUUCUUCAAAUCAGAAUGAAUAAUACAUGUGAAUAGUACAUGUGAAUAAUACUAAACCUGAAACUUAAUUUUAAAUGGUUAUAGGCAGUUAGGAGAUAAAUGAGCAUAACUUGAUCUAGGAUUGUCCAUUUAACUUGAAAUUUAUAUCAAAUUAAAACUAAUAUAGAGCUAAAAAUUUAUAGAAGAUAAUUUUGCCAAAUUAUGUUGUUAACCUUAUAUUUAAAGCUACACAAGUCAAUACAAGCAUAGGUGACCAAACCAAGGUUGUUAGUUGCACCAUUUGCAACCUAGAGAGAAUGCACUAUAACUUGAGUUAUAGUUAUCCAAAUGAGUUGAUCUUUAUUUUUUUAGAAAGUUAGGUCAUAGAGAAACAAAUUUUAUGAGUUAAAUAUGCUUUAAACCAUGCUAAAAUUUGGCUACAAAAUUGAACAGAAAUCUGCCCUCUAGGUGAAAAAUAUAAAUUGAUUUAUUUAAUAUGUUUACUUACUAAGUAAAUGUACAUAUAAGUUAUGUAUACAUAUUAUGGCAACUAAUAAAUUGUUAUGCAUGUAUUCGUAUGAAGUUGCUAGUAGUUGUACACUCGAAAUAGAUGUCAAGAGGAUUUUAUUAUUUAAACUUGAAUGCACAAUUAUGUGUAAAAAAAAUGCAAAUACUUAAUAUAAAUACUAUUGGCCCUAGUGAGUUUCAUAAAAAUUGAUAGUUAGCAUAAGGAUGUGGUAUGUCAUACACAUUAGUAGUACUACGCUACAAUUUAUAUGAUUCGAGGGUUACGUUGAGGUGCUUUUUGGUAUGGCAAUGGUGCCUACCACUAUAGUUAUCAGCCUCUAGGCCUAUAGUUUGUACUUGGUGCAUACAAAUAUAAUCAUUCCUUGUUUAGCUAUUUGAGUUUGUUAAACUUAUAAGGGUUGGCAUUUAAAUCAAAACUACGUUAAGACAACAUUUUUAACAAUAAAUAUACUUUAUGAUUGAGAAUCACAGUACGCUUAAUGUCUUCUGAUAAUUGCAUUGUUUCCUUUAUGCUCUCGCACUUUAUUUACAUUUAUAAUGCAUGAUAUAUAUAUAUACUCGUUAUUACCAUGUUGCUUCUUUUAUAAUAACCUAUAAUUUGUAUGAUAGUGAGUAUCAGUAAGCAAGUAGCUUAGUGCGUAGAAAUUUCUUUUUCCUUGCACAGAUCGUAGAUAGUUGAACAGUUGAAGAGGGAUGGAUCUAUAGUCAGACAAUCAAAGUCACUUUGGAGUACUAGUAGUUCUACAUAUAUAUUGUUAAUGCAGCUUGCAAAUGGAAUAUAUAUAUAUUAUCAUCCUUUUCUUCAUGAAGGUAACUCAUAUUUGAGUAUCCUACAUUGUUUUAAAUUAUUAAAAGUAUUUUCAAUUUUUAAUUAAUUCACAGUUUUUGAGGUAUAUAGUAAAAUAGGGAAGAUUCCAUCAGUUUCUCCCUUUUAUGCAAAUAAAAUGUUACUUUUUAAUUUAGUAGUCUAAUAUUAAAUAAAAUAAAGUUAUUUUCAAACGAUUAUGAAAUAAUUUAGUGUGUGGUAUUUCCGACUCGAUUAAAAUAUUAAUCGAAUAGGGGAUGUUACAAAACCUCUUUACCCUUACCCUCUUUUUCGCUUCCAUAAUCUAAACUUUCCUCACCUCAUUCAAACAUGAUAUUAGGAGUGCGGGUGAAAAAAAAUUAAAUUUUCUCAUAAUAGAAUCCACUCAAAAAGGAUAUUUUUUUAGUUUUAUCAUUAUAUGUUUUAGUAUUUUUUUUAAGUGUAUUCAAAAUAAAUUAUUCUUUAUCUAGAGCCUAGGAGUCUAUUUAUAAAUUCAUUAUUUAGGAUUUUUGUUUUGUUAUUUUUAUAAUUUCAACGUUUAUAUAAUUCAUUAUAAGAGAAUUUUUCUAUUGUAAAUGAAGAUAUUUUUUUAUAUUAUUUUAAAAAAUAAUUGAUAAACUAAAUAGAUAUGUAAAAAAUAUAUAUUGUUUCUUUUCCUUUAUUUUCACAUGUAUAAAAAAAUUUGGUGACAUCACUCCACCUAUUUCAUAAAGCAUUGGACUGGUUUAACAACAGCUAUCUAAUACUUAGGAAAUCAUUGUAGGCCUUAAAAUAACUAUUUUAUCCGGAAAUACACAUAUCCAUAUUUUUCCAUUCUAUUUAUCUAGAUAUAAUCUAAGUGAGUUCAAGUAUCAAAUGAGCAUAUUUGCCAAAAACAAAUAUGAUUACUUCCAAAAGUUAUUUCAUUCAUUCUCUCUCUAUGUUAUUUACGGAACUAUAUUCAACGGAACUAUAUUCUUUUUGGAUUAUAAUGGAUGAUUAUUUUUCAAUUUCAUCUCUACUAUAAAAUGAAUAUAAAGAGUUUCUUCUUAUCUAUUUUUUCGUUAAUGAAAUGAUUAAAUAAAUACAUAAAAUAAUAAAUUAAAUUGUGAAAUUCUUUGCGAGUUCACUUCAUGUAUUUACUUAAUCUACUAACUAAAAUUUUAUUUUACAAAAUAUACAAGAUAUUAGCUACUGUUUCAAAUUUAUUAAUUUAAUAUGCAAACUCUAAAUAGUGAACAGGGAAGGAGAAAUAAUAUUUUCCGCUAUAUGAAUGAAAAAUGACAAAUCCAAUAAAAGAAUGAAAGAAUAAUACAUGUUUUAAGUACAACUGAUGAAAUCCCAGCGUCGUAGGCCUAAGAUAAAUUGCAUUCAGGAGGGAAGCCUUGCGGAAAUCUGUUGGCAUCAGUGCAAUAGUUGUAUAUCAUGUAGUUGUUCCUCACCCAUUGCAGCCUUUCUUGACUCGUUGAAUCAAGCUCUUCUGACAGCCAUGAAUUUGUCAUGGAGUUUGAAGUCCCACAGGAAGAUACCCAAUUAGACCAAGCACACGCAUUUGCACUGAAGUUUCUAUAGGAGGCAGUGAAUGGAGCCUGACUCCAAUCUGUCUUCACUAGACCACCUCUUGUAGCCCAAUCAUCAGCAUUCCAUAGACUAGAGUAAAUUCUCAUUGGCUGAUUCUUUGGAUAUGGAACUCCCAUUGAUUCCAAGUUCUUGAACUCUCUAAUUGGGGUGCCAUCUACAGAGAAGAUGAUCCUCUGGGGAUUCCAUAGAAUGGUAUAUGUGUGAAAAUCUGCAGUUGGGUCAAACCACAGAUAGAAUUGCUGCUCUCUGUUGCCUUUGCCUUGGCUAAAUACAUUAGUGUGGAGGAUGUAAGGAUCGCCGCUCAAAUUCCCCAAGAACUCAAAAUCAAUCUCAUCCCAAGUGGACCCAGUUGAUUUUAACUGCAGAUUCAAUUUCAAAAUCCACAAUGUUAGUAC
rnacentral:lncRNA from 1 species